AGGUUUUUGUUUUUUCUCUAUCUUCACGAGAAACUAUACAAUUUGGAUAGAGAAUAAAAUAAAUAAAUAAAAAUGUUAGUGGUGGUUAAUUUUUUAAAUAACACUCUGAGUUUUAUUUAUUAUUUUUAAUCUUUAUCUAAUUUCUCUACAUGUUAAUAAUUAAUUGAUUUAACAUUUUAUCUUUCAUAGAAUCACCAUUUUACUGAAUAAUUUCUCCACUCUUCACGUGUAAUUUCUUGUCUACUUAUUUUAAUUUUGAAAUAUAUAAUGGUCUUUCUUUUCAGUUCUGAUUCACCUAAAAGUGGCCCUCCUCACCCUUUUUGUUCCAUGUUUCUUCCCUUCAGACCUUCACCAACCCCUUCUGAAUCUAGCGGAUUAUAAUCAUUUAGUUCCAACAAUAGGACUUUGCCGCCACAUCCUAAGCCUGGCUUUGGGACUGUAAUCUGUUUUUGUGAAAUCAAUUUACAAAAGCUUGAUUUUGUUGGAUAGCUGAGCAUCAUAACAUUAUCUUUUAGUUUGUUUUGUGCAUAUAUUAGGUUAUUAACAUUAAAUUCAGUAGUUUUAAUGGGAUUUUCUUCUACUGCUAAUUCUUCUUUCUUUUAAUAAGGAAUCUAAUUUGUCAUAGCAGAACUCUCAACAUAUCCAAAAGAAUCAGACAAGAGUCCAAGCAGGACUAAUAGUGAAGCGUUGCCUACAGUUUUUCUCUUUUUGGGCUUGAUAGAAAAUAAAUUAAUAAUUUUAUUUUAGAUAAUUUGAAAUUAAUUAAUAUAUUUAAGACUGUUUUAAUUCCAAUAUCAAACAUUUUAAUUAAAUUGGAUUGCAUCAACCCAGUUUGAUAAAUGGCCCUCUCUUCAUCCAUUAACCUCCUAUUUUUUCCAAAAACAAGGAUGAAGAGCGAAAAGAUUUGGUUUUGGGUAAGAUUCUCACAGAGUUGGCAAAUGGGAUUCCAAUUAUAGUAAAUUUCAAUACAAAUUUGUUGUUAUUAUUUGCUCCAGUUACAAAGAUUAAUAUUAAAGUUGCAAGACUUGUGCAAUUUGCUGCGUAGAAUCUCACUAAUCUUGGUCGAGAUAUUGUUGUGAAAAAUAUUGAUUAAAGCAAUAUAAAAACUAAGCAUGCCUUGUGUGCUUAUUAGCAAUCCUGUGGACUAAUUGUACAUUGAUGAAACAUAAAUAGGAGAGCAUUGUGAGCAUGGCAGUUGCCGGAGCAAUCAUCGGAGCAGCAAUUGGUGGAUGGUUAAAUGAUCGGUAUGGAAGAAGAAAGGCAAUCCUCGUUGCAGAUUUCCUAUUCUUCAUUGGAGCUGUAAUCAUGGCUGCUUCUCCUGGCCCAGCUCUUCUCAUCGUUGGUCGAGUUUUCGUUGGACUAGGUGUUGGAAUGGCAUCAAUGACAUCUCCUCUCUACAUUUCAGAGGCUUCUCCUGCAAAAAUCAGAGGUGCCCUUGUUAGUACUAAUGGAUUUCUCAUCACUGGUGGCCAGUUUCUUUCAUAUCUCAUCAACUUGGCCUUUACAGAGGCACCUGGGACAUGGCGGUGGAUGCUUGGUGUUGCAGGACUUCCAGCUUUUCUUCAGUUCAUUCUUAUGCUAAUGCUCCCAGAAUCACCCCGUUGGCUAUAUCGAAAGGGAAGGGAAGAAGAAGCCAAAGCCAUACUGAGCAAAAUAUAUCCAGCUGAUGAAGUUGAAUCAGAAAUCCGAGACCUUAAGGCCUCCGUUGACAAAGAAAUUGAGGAAGAAGGAAAUUCUGAGAAGAUUAACAUUAUCAAACUAUGUAAAACCAGAACUGUGAGGAGAGGACUAACUGCUGGUGUUGGCCUUCAGGUUUUCCAGCAGUUUGUGGGAAUUAAUACAGUUAUGUAUUAUAGUCCCACCAUAGUUCAGUUGGCUGGUUUUGCGUCUAACCGAACUGCUCUGCUGCUUUCACUUGUCACUGCUGGUCUCAAUGCAUUCGGUUCUGUUGUGAGCAUAUACUUCAUUGACAGGACCGGAAGGAAGAAGCUUCUCAUUGCCAGUUUGGUUGGUGUGAUACUUUCACUUGGUCUUUUAUCAGGAAUUUUCCAUGAGUCUACAACUCACUCACCGAUGGUUAAAGCUGCUGAAGCUCGCUAUGGAAAUUAUACCUGCCCUGAUUACAGUUUGGAAACAAAUACUGCUUCUUGGGAUUGUAUGAAGUGCUUGAAGGCCACACAUCCGGAAUGUGGGUUUUGUGCUGCAGCUUCUGAUAAGCUACUGCCUGGAGCAUGUUUGGUCUCAAAUGACACUGUGAAGGAUCUUUGUCAUGGAGACCACAGGGAAUGGUACACCAGGGGAUGUCCUAGCAAAUAUGGAUGGGUUGCACUAUUUGGCUUGGCACUCUACAUCAUAUUCUUCUCUCCUGGAAUGGGUACUGUCCCAUGGACUGUCAACUCUGAGAUCUACCCUUUAAGGUUCAGAGGAGUUUGUGGAGGAAUAGCUGCCACAGCAAACUGGAUCUCAAACCUUAUAGUUGCCCAGUCUUUCCUAUCCUUGACGCAGACCAUAGGGACUUCUUGGACAUUCCUAAUGUUUGGGGUUAUAUCAAUAAUAGCUUUGAUCUUUGUCCUGGUGUAUGUGCCUGAAACAAAGGGGCUACCAAUAGAGGAGGUUGAGAAGAUGCUGGAACUCAGAUCUCUGCACUACAAGUUCUGGGAGAAGACGUCUGAACCAUAUGAGAAAAAACCAGAAGUCUGAUUAGUAGUAGGACUUCAUGUGCUAAAUUUAGGGAAACUCUGAAAUUUAAGAAGGGGUUUCCUAAUAGUAUAUAACUAAUUUAAACUUAAGACAUGUAUUGCGCCUUCUUCACUGAUGGAAUAUACAUUUUCAUCCUAAAUUUGAGCAUUGGUUGGAAUUAGAAUAGUUGCCUUUCUUGAUUUGAUGAUUUUACCAGGUGCGGGUUUGGUUUCUCCUUAGCACUUUGUUCUCUAGUUUUUGGGGGACCUGUUCUGAGAGUAGACAUGUUAUAUUUUAUAGCUGAUAUUUUUAUGUUUCGUUUGUGAGGUU
rnacentral:misc_RNA from 1 species